rnacentral:lncRNA from 1 species
CAUUGAAUUAAGAGAUUUUGAAGUAAAAAAAAAAACUGAAUCCAAUAAUCUUUGUUAUUAAUAACUUUGGAUUUUUUUUAUAGUGUUAUAGUGGAUUCUAGUUUAUUUUAAAUUGUUCUUUAGAAAUUACAUAUUUCACACAACACAAUUUGUUUGCCAGCAUUGGGAUUUUAUCGAGUUGAUGGUGAUUUAAUGAUGACCCUGGCAUCAGAUAAACCCAUGUUCCAAGAUAUCUCAGAAAUGCUCAAGCCGUUCUGUGUGCAGUAAGCUGUCAACAGAAUGAGGGAAAGGGAGACGGGGAAGGAGAAUUUGGUGGUGUGCGACCAAUGGGCUUGCCUGAUGUAUUUUUAAUGCACAUGAAUGAUUGAUCACUGUAUAUGGACACAUGCUGUCCUGUGGGGCGGCUGCAGUCUGUGUGUUGCUGUCGGUGCUGGUAUGAGUGCGACCAGGGGACCUUCUGGACUGAGCAUGAACACUGGAGUUAAAGCAUCAGUGGGCAAUGCAGAGAAAUCGCACUCUGGUCCGGAUGUACCUGCUCUCCAGUUCUGUGCUUCCACUUCCUGGCUCGUGGAGCAGAGAUGAUUUCAGACGUCCACCAUUGUCCAGUUCAACACAUGGGCGGACCACCACAGUGCCUCUCAGUAUCAGUGAGCCCUGCUUGUUCACCCCAGGGCAGAGAGCGGUUUUCGAGGGGUUUUCAAAAAACCGCCGUCCCCUUCUACACAAACGUGGCCCAUCUUCUCCCUCCUGCAAGACCCUUGAGAACACAAAGGCACCUCAGCAGAGCUAUCAUCAAGUGUACAUGCAUUUCUCUCGGCCUCUGAAGCCUGUACCAAAGGUUGGACAGGCCUUUACUCACAGUCAGCGGCGGGCCACAGAGAGCACAGGACUGCAGGCAUUAGUGAGGCAGCACCUAGAGACUUUAUCUGUCAGAGGACAGACUUUCCUUCCCACCCAGCAUUUACCUACCUCUUCAUCUAGCGCGCCUCGCACACAGCUGCAUGUGUUCUUGCCUGCAGAGGGCGCCAGGCAGGAGGAAGACGGGGACAGUGAGUCUGUUGAUGAGGGUUUCAUGGAUGAGCUAGAUAACAAAGUCACCACUCUGAGACUUCAAGAUCCAAAGAUCCCCAAACAGAUAGAAAAAUCACUGACGGGUCAAAUGGUGCAAUGAACUUCCUAGUGUCAUGCCUUUAUUGUAGCAUUUCAUAUUUUGAUGUGUGUUGUAUGCUACCACUGAUAACAGAAAUGACAAGUU